CGCUAUAUAGCUUAAUUAAAGCACCUCGCUUACACCGAAGAGACACCUGUGAAAAUCAAGUUAUUCCGA
rnacentral:tRNA from 1 species